rnacentral:misc_RNA from 1 species
GCUUCAAAAUGGCUGAUCAGAACGAGCGCGCCUUCCAAAAACAAUUUGGUGUGAACCUAAACCGCAAGGUGAAGCCAGGCGUCACCAAGAAGAAGAUCCUCCGCCGUUAUCGUGAUGUCGGUCUGGGUUUCAAGACCCCUCGUGAGGCCAUCGAUGGUACCUACAUUGACAAGAAGUGCCCCUGGACUGGCGAUGUUCGUAUUCGUGGUCGCAUCCUGAUCGGUGUUGUCCGCAAGACGAAAAUGCAGCGUACCAUUGUCAUUCGUCGUGACUACUUGCACUUUGUGCGCAAAUAUAGUCGUUUCGAGAAGCGUCACCGCAACAUGAGCGUCCACUGCUCGCCCGCUUUCAGAGAUGUUGAGCACGGCGACAUUGUCACCAUUGGCGAGUGCCGUCCCCUCUCAAAGACUGUGCGCUUCAAUGUACUGAAAGUCAACAAGGGUCAGGGCGCCAAGAAGAGCUUCAAGAAGUUUUAAAUGAGGACACCAGCGGAAAAGAUAAUAUUUGUAGAAUUUAUUCUUUUUGAAUAAAACAAAAAUUUAACUUUAAUCGCUAUUAUUCCACAGUCCAGUCCUCUCAGUUUCCACAGCAUUUUCAGAAGUUUCCGGCAGCCACUUAACUCAAAGAAUUUAAGAUGACCACUCGUGAAAGAUAAAUCAAUUAAUAACGGGAACUUGUAUGAAAUUUUUGUUAUAAUAAAAAAACUUUCAAUCCUAAAUAAAGGUUGCCAGAAUAA